rnacentral:tRNA from 1 species
GGGGCUGGGGCUCAGUGGUAGAGCACUUGCCUAGCAUGUGUGAGGCCCUGGGUUCAAUUCUCAGCACCG